AGCGCGUGGAUGACCUGCCCCGUGGUGGGGGAUACCAGCCAGAAAUGGCUGUUAAGACCGCAUGAGACCCACUGGUGCGAGCUGGUGGGGGAAAGCCGAGAGGCGCCAUGGGAGGGGUCCGCGUCGGAUUAGCUAGUUGGUGGGGUAAGAGCCUACCAAGGCGACGACGGGUAGCUGGUCUGAGAGGAUGGCCAGCCACAUUGGGACUGAGAGACGGCCCAG
rnacentral:rRNA from 1 species